rnacentral:rRNA from 1 species
ACCUGGGUUUGACAUCUCGGGAAUCUGUGGAACACGAGAGUGCCCUUCGGGGAGCCCGAAGACAGGCGCUGCAUGGCUGUCGUCAGCUCGUGUCGUGAGAUGUUGGGUUAAGUCCCGCAACGAGCCGCAACCCCUAUCUCUAGUUGCCAGCGAUUCGUCGGGGACUCUAGAGAUACUGCCCCGGUUAACGGGGAGGAAGGUGGGGAUGACGUCAAGUCCUCAUGGCCCUUAUGCCCAGGGCUACACACGUGCUACAAUGGGCGGUACAAAGGGCAGCCACUUAGCGAUAAGGCGCGAAUCCCGUAAAACCUGUCUCAGUCCGGAUUGGAGUCUGCAACUCGACUCCAUGAAGUUGGAAUCGCUAGUAAUCGCAGAUCAGCACGCUGCGGUGAAUACGUUCCCGGGCCUU